GCUGGCGGCGUGCCUAAUACAUGCAAGUCGAACGGAGAUUCUGUCGUAAUUCGUUACAGCGGAAAUCUCAGUGGCGAACGGGUGAGUAACGCGUUGGUGACCUGCCCCGGAGAGGGGGAUAACAGCUUGAAAGGGCUGCUAAUACCCCAUGAUGUCUAGAGGGUUAGAAACCUCUAGACGAAAGGCUUCGGUUGCUUCGGGAGGGGCCUGCGUCCCAUCAGCUAGUUGGUAGGGUAAUGGCCUACCAAGGCGAAGACGGGUAGGGGACCUGAGAGGGUGACCCCCCACAAUGGAACUGAAACACGGUCCAUACACCUACGGGUGGCAGCAGUAGGGAAUAUUGCACAAUGGGCGAAAGCCUGAUGCAGCAACGCCGCGUGCGCGAAGAAGGCCUUCGGGUUGUAAAGCGCUUUUCGGGGAGAAGAGAAAGGACGGUAUCCCCGGAAUAAGGAUCGGCUAACUACGUGCCAGCAGCCGCGGUAAAACGUAGGAUCCGAGCGUUAUCCGAAUUCACUGGGCGUAAAGCGCGUGUAGGCGGUUCGGUAAGUUGGAUGUGAAAGCUCCCGGCUCAACUGGGAGAGGACGUUCAAAACUGUUGGACUAGAGGGCGGAAGAGGGAGGUGGAAUUCCCGGUGUAGUGGUGAAAUGCGUAGAUAUCGGGAGGAACACCAGUGGCGAAGGCGGCCUCCUGGGCCGCACCUGACGCUCAGACGCGAAAGCUAGGGUAGCAAACGGGAUUAGAAACCCCGGUAGUCCUAGCUGUAAACGAUGUAGACUUGGUGUUGGUGGGGUAAAGCAUCAGUGCCGGAGCAAACGCGAUAAGUCUACCGCCUGGGACUACGACCGCAAGGUUAAACUCAAGGAAUUGA
rnacentral:rRNA from 1 species